CUUAUAUUCCAUUUUAAAUUAAGUGUUGUCAUGCUUUCUUUAACAAUUUCUCUUCGCUUCUUCACUCGUUGUCUUUUCAAACUACUUUAUAAUGCUUUUACUUUAAGUUCAAAGUUUAUCAGAAACAGUAUCUGUACCUCAUACGAGUAAAAUCUACAUACACACUACCCUCUCGCCAACGCACACCACCCUCUCGUCAGCAUCCACGUGUGAGAUUACAGCAAGUAAUAUUGUUUGUGGUGCUGGUGGUGGAGUUUUUGACCAAAUACAUCCCUAUUAUUUUACCACAACUUUCAUUACAUCCUCCUAAUAUACUAUUUAACUAAGAAGAUCCUUCAAGUUUCUGAAAAAUGAUCAAAAGUAUCCUUCUGUCAGUUUUUUCCAUUUUCUUUUAACGGAAUCAUUUUUGUUCAAAGUCACUUUUCUCUUUUUGUUUCAAAAUUUUUUCUGUUCUUCAAUGAUUUAAAAAAAAAAAAAAAAAAAGAGCUUCAUAUGGUCAGACAACAGUAAAUGAUGUUCAAAGAUUUUUAAAAAAGGAGCUUCAACAUGGCCAGACAACAGUCCUGGAUGCAAGCCUGAGUAUGUGUAACCUGGCAUCAGGCAUGGAUUGGAAUGGGUUUGCUACUUCUACUUUUGUAUAGCUCGUCCUCUAAGAGACUGGCGCGAGCAGCCCUUCGGGAGAUGAGGUAUAGGGACAUAAAGAAGAUAGAAAAGGGGAUUAGGCGCCAUUUUCAUGAUGAUAUAGCAGUUAUUUUGAUCUACCUUGAUCACCAGAUAGAAUCCUUCCACUCCAAAGGCACUCUUGGCUCUAUCACCGCACCUGUAGAUGUUUUCUCAUAUAAUUCAAAUGAUGCUGAGGAGAAACAAGUGAUUGAAGCUUUUUGAACAGCCAAAAAUCGCAACAAGAGGGUGGUAUAUUCAGUACAUAAUGUUACAGUAUAGGGAAAUAGCGACAUACAAGGCAGAGGUGAAGCCAGUAUUUUAGGUCUGUGGGUUCAGAAUUUUAAGAGAAAGAGUAAAAAACAAAAACACUACUCUCAUCUCCCAUGUUUGUAUGUGGGUUCGCAACUAUAUAUUUUAUAUAUUAUUUCUGAAUUUUAUAGUAUAAAUACAGGAUCUACGUAAAAGCUACUGGGUUCGGCCGAACCCCCAAACACCCUCUAGCUACACCUCUGAUACAAGGUAUUGCAUGGAGAGGAUACAGGUUUGAUGUAGAUAAACUAGGUUUAUGGGUGGCUGCUUGGAUGAUUUGGGAGCAGAUAUUCAGAUUAGGAUCGGACCAAACCCAUUGUUUUGUUCUUUUCAGAUGGAUUGUGCUUUGAGAUAAAUAGUGCAAUAGAGGAUCUGGCCAUGUGAAGCAAAUCUUUGAAGAACCGGAAAAUUUUGAAAGAAGAAGAGAAAAGUGGCUUUGAACAAAAAUAAUUCUGUUAAAGAAGAUGGAAAAAACUGACAGAGGGAUGUUUUUGAUAAACUUGAAGGAUGUUCUUAGCUAAGUAGUAUAUUAAGAGGAUGUAAUGAAAGUUGUGGUAAAAUAAUAGGGAUGUAUUUGGUCAAAAACUCGCUGGUGGUGGUGGUUCUAAUCAACUAAUAAUCCGCCC